rnacentral:rRNA from 1 species
CCUACGGGUGGCAGCAGUGAGGAAUAUUGGUCAAUGGCCGAAAGCCUGAACCAGCCAAGUCGCGUGAAGGAUUACGGCCCUACGGGUUGUAAACUUCUUUUGUCAGGGAGCAAUUGCGUCCACGUGUGGACUUGGAGAGAGUACCUGAAGAAAAAGCAUCGGCUAACUCCGUGCCAGCAGCCGCGGUAAUACGGAGGAUGCGAGCGUUAUCCGGAUUUAUUGGGUUUAAAGGGUGCGUAGGCGGAAUGUCAAGUCAGCGGUAAAAUUUCGGGGCUCAACCUCGUCGUGCCGUUGAAACUGGUGUUCUUGAGUGGGCGAGAAGUAUGCGGAAUGCGUGGUGUAGCGGUGAAAUGCAUAGAUAUCACGCAGAACUCCGAUUGCGAAGGCAGCAUACCGGCGCCCAACUGACGCUGAAGCACGAAAGCGUGGGUAUCGAACAGGAUUAGAUACCCGGGUAGUC